UACGAAGGGGGCUAGCGUUGCUCGGAAUCACUGGGCGUAAAGCGCACGUAGGCGGAUUGCUAAGUCAGGGGUGAAAUCCUGGAGCUCAACUCCAGAACUGCCUUUGAUACUGGCGACCUUGAGUCCGGGAGAGGUGAGUGGAACUGCGAGUGUAGAGGUGAAAUUCGUAGAUAUUCGCAAGAACACCAGUGGCGAAGGCGGCUCACUGGCCCGGUACUGACGCUGAGGUGCGAAAGCGUGGAGAGCAAACAGG
rnacentral:rRNA from 1 species